GUGGAACACCAAGACAAAUGGCUAGAAACCUUGUACAUGAAAACAGUGGCCCACCCAAAGUUUUUUUUUUCCUAGGAAGUUAUAGAGAAAUGAGGAGGUAUCAGAAGAGCAGUCAAUAAAAUAAAAAUUUAUUUAAAAGACAUAUGGGUGGGAUGAGAACGAAUGAUUCUUACUUUAUCUGUAGAAAUUGAAUUUUGCUGCAACUAAGAGAGACCUGGAAAAUAGUGAUUUAUACUAACAAGAUUUUGUUCUGUCAAGAAAACUGAUAUUCAGUAGUCCAGGCUGAUGCAGUGGCUUCAUGAGCUCUUCAGCAACCCAGGCACCUUCUAGGUCUUCUUUGCCAAUUCUAGUGCUAGUAAUUCCUUCAUCUCAUCAUCCAACAUGGCUGCCAGAGCUCCAGACAUCACAUGUACAUCUGAGUUCCAGGAAACUAGACGGAGAAAAGAAGGGCUUGCACGCUCACUUUAAAGAAGACUUCUAAGAAGAACCACCUAAAAUUCCCCAACCUAGUCCCAAAGCUCACUUGGCUGCUUUCAAGCCUGGAAAAUGCAGUCUUUAAGCUGCAAAAUGCUAUGACAAAAUCAGAGAUUGACCAUGCCUACAGGGACAACUGGAAAACAGAAAUGAAACCAUAUAAGCCAAGCACUCACGCAAUCUUUGUCCUCCCAGUUGACUUAAGAACUCUUGCGAAGAAAAUGUGGCCUCUAGAUCUCAGGUCCCUUGUUUCCAACUGGUUCAAAUAAAUAGACAACUCUUCAUUCCUAUGGUACUUCUUAGAGAUAAGCCACAUGCAUGUAUCAGAGAAAACAACUCAGCCUGGUAAAUGAACAGGAAAAACUUGGGUUAGAAUUCUAUUUCUUUCAAGGUGGAGAGCAAAUUUUCAUAAUAUCACAUGGACAUACAGACCAAGCCAUGCGUGGCACUAUCUACACAAUCAAGGCAGAGAACACAAAAACUUGGACAUGAAUGUUCACAGCAGCAUUAUUCAUAAUAGUCAAAAAAUGGAAACAACCAAAAUGCCCACCAACUGAUGCAUGAAUAAACAAAAUGUGGUGCAUCCAUUCAAUGGAAUAUUAUUCAGCCAUUAAAAAGGAUAAAUUACUGAUACAUGCUACAACAUGUAUGAACUUCAAAAACAUAUGCUAAGUGAAAGAAGCCAGCCAUCAAGGACCACAAAUUGUAUUAUUCAAUUUAUAUGAAAUUCUAAAGUAGGCAAAUCUAUAAAGACAAAAUAGUUUAGUGGUUGUAUAGGGCUGGGGUCGGGAGAGGAGAAUAGGAGUGACUGCCAGUAAGCAAGAGGUUUCUGGUGAAAAUGUGGAGAGGAGGCUUGAAUAAUUAUCUGAGGUUAGAUUUGUUAUUUGGAGGCACCAUUACCUACUUAAUUUCCUACACAACUCAGAUUCACUAGAAAACUACUGUUGGCUGUACUUUUUUGAUAAUGUAAUUCCUGUAUUUCAAAACUGUUUUUAAGGCUUUUCUUAAUCUCUCCCUUAAAAACAAAAAUACUGAGACAGUUACAAAGUAAAAUAGACUUUUUAAAAUUUUACUUUCAAAAGAAGAUAAUCAAAAGUGAUACAAUCAUCACAAUUGGCAUUAAAUUAUUGUUUUGAUCUUAAUAUUUUAUUCCUCAUUCAUUUGUUGUUGCUUUUUGUCUGUUCUAAUGCUAUAAUGACUUACCUCAACUUUAACAAAAUGAAACUUUGUUUUCAUGCUUUAUUAACCUGAAGCUAAUAAUUUUACCUUAGGUGUUAUCAAAAAAUGACUUAUUUUUAGGAUAAGUUAAUAUCUCAAACAACAGUGUUAUGCUCUGCCACCUACCAAACUCUGGAGUGAGAAAAUCCAAUCAGUUUAACUGACCUUGCACAAUUAAACCAUCAAAUACAUUCCAUAUUCGGGCUUGGUGGCUCGUGCCUAUAAUCCCAGCACUUUGGGAGGUCGAUGCAGGUGGAUCGCUUGAGCCCAGGACUUCAAGACCAGCCUAGACAACAUGGUGAAACCCUAUCUUUUCUAAAAAUACAAAAAUUAGCCAAGCGUGCUAGUGUGCUCCUGGGAAGGCUAAGGUGGGAGAAUCCUUGAGGCCAGGGGGUUGAGGCUGCGGUGAGCUGUGAUUGCACCACUGCACUUUAGUCUGGGUGACAGAGCGAGACUCUGUCUCAAACAAACAAAAAAUCUAUAAUGGACAACUUAGAAAUCUAAUUUGAUAAUCCUAAGAAACUCCCUCCUACUCCUACUUCCUCCCUCAAGUUCUCUAAAAGGUUCAAGAAACAACAAUUAUAGCACUGACAUCUAAAUGUAAUUUGUAAAGUAUUUCUUAUGUUCUCCCUGGUAUUCUCCUUAAAAUCAUCCUAGCUUUCCCAGAACCUAGAUGAUAUUGUCUUCUAGUUAAAAUUUUCAUAUGCUGAUGUUUUCUGCCAUUUCUGUUUGGCAGAAAAGCAAACUGGAAAACUUGAUAAACAAGAAAGACCUCAAGUAACAAAAAUUAUAUGUCAUUCUUGGCUCCACUAACAGCUCCAAACCUCUGAAAUGUGGUAGAUCUUUUUCCAAAGGAAGAUCUUACUAACUCUCAGUGUAAAUCUGUACCUUAUCUUUAUCACUGUUUAAAAUCCAUCUCUAAAUAACAUAGGCCAAGAUCUCCAAAAUCGAUAAUGGGGAAACUGCUUAACAGCGUUCCAGAAGUUCUUAACCAUAAGAGUGAUGCUACAGUAGAAAGUAAACCACGAGGCAUCAUGCAUCUUGACUGAAAAUUCCACCCCACACCCACUGAGCUAAUCUGGAGCUGCCAUAGAAGACAGGGAAGUUGGAAGUAGAGACCUUUGCGUAGGCCAUCACCCCUCGCCAUCAAUCAAAAGGAAUUCUGUGAGCUUCUACUGAGAGCCUAGAGCUCUGCUCAGCAGCACAAAGACAGAGCCAGGCAGAAACAACUCCAGAGCCACACCUCCUCUGAAAGACAAUUGUCAGGUGAGAUUUUCAAAUAAACCCACUGGGGAUUAUCCACUAUCUCCCCAGGAAAUUCAAAUGUUUAGAAAUAUAAACACAACACAUACUUUUUUUCAGUAUUUUAUAAAGUUCAACAGUUUUGAUAAUCACAUGUAUGCCAAAUGAUUUGUAAAGUGUAAAAUUUGAAAAAGAUCAGAUAUUAAAUAAUAAAUUGAAUUAGAAAACACAACAACGAUAAAAAAAGUUUUAUGAAUGGACUACCAGUUUUUGCUUUUUUGAAAAGAAAUAUUAUAACAAGGUUAUUUGCUCAAAUAAAACCUACCUGACACUCUUGCAAAUGUUUAGGGAGGGAAAGUGUGUCUCCCUUUAUAUUUACUGUUUCUCUCUGAAGCCAAUUUCAUUUUUUUCAACAUCCUGGCCAUCUGCAUUCAUAUAAAGUGGUUAUUUUCAGGGAUAAUUCACCUUAUAUAUGAAAUAUAAAAGAUAUCUGGAAUAAAUUCAUUGCAAAAUUGAUGUUACCUGUUAAAUCUUCCUAGUAGUUUAUUUUCACCAAAAUAAAAUGAGUGAGAUUU